ACUCCUGCGGGAGGCAGCAGUGGGGAAUAUUGCACAAUGGGCGCAAGCCUGAUGCAGCGACGCCGCGUGGGGGAUGAAGGCCUUCGGGUUGUAAACUCCUUUCGCUAGGGACGAAGCUUUUUUGUGACGGUACCUAGAUAAGAAGCACCGGCUAACUACGUGCCAGCAGCCGCGGUAAUACGUAGGGUGCGAGCGUUGUCCGGAAUUACUGGGCGUAAAGGGCUCGUAGGUGGUUUGUCGCGUCGUCUGUGAAAUUCUGGGGCUUAACUCCGGGCGUGCAGGCGAUACGGGCAUAACUUGAGUGCUGUAGGGGUAACUGGAAUUCCUGGUGUAGCGGUGAAAUGCGCAGAUAUCAGGAGGAACACCGAUGGCGAAGGCAGGUUACUGGGCAGUUACUGACGCUGAGGAGCGAAAGCAUGGGUAGCGAACAGGAUUAGAAACCCCGGUAGUCCC
rnacentral:rRNA from 1 species